rnacentral:rRNA from 1 species
AUUGAACGCUGGCGGUAUGCUUAACACAUGCAAGUCGAACGGUAGCAGGCCUUCGGGCGCUGACGAGUGGCGGACGGGUGAGUAAUGCAUAGGAAUCUGCCUAUUAGUGGGGGAUAACGUGGGGAAACUCACGCUAAUACCGCAUACGACCUACGGGUGAAAGCUGGGGACCUUCGGGCCUGGCGCUAAUAGAUGAGCCUAUGUUGGAUUAGCUAGUUGGUAGGGUAAAGGCCUACCAAGGCGACGAUCCAUAGCUGGUCUGAGAGGAUGAUCAGCCACACUGGGACUGAGACACGGCCCAGACUCCUACGGGAGGCUG